GCCUGAGGAUAGCUCAGUGGAUAACUCCGUCUGUAGAGCCUGAGACUCUUAAUCUCAGGGUCCAGGGUUCAAGCCCCAGUUGGGAUG